UGGCGGACGGGUGAGUAACGCGUAAAGAACUUGCCCUUUAGACUGGGAUAACAGAGGGAAACUUCUGAUAAUACUGGAUAAGUUAGUAUAUCGCAUGAUAUACAAAUGAAGGCUACGGCACUAAAGGAGAGCUUUGCGUCCUAUUAGCUAGUUGGUAAGGUAAGAGCUUACCAAGGCGAUGAUAGGUAGCCGGCCUGAGAGGGUGGACGGCCACAAGGGGACUGAGAUACGGCCCUUACUCCUACGGGAGGCAGCAGGA
rnacentral:rRNA from 1 species